CCUACGGGUGGCUGCAGUGGGGAAUAUUGGACAAUGGGGGGAACCCUGAUCCAGCCAUGCCGCGUGUGUGAAGAAGGCCCUCGGGUUGUAAAGCACUUUCAGUGAGGAAGAACGCCUGGUGGUUAAUACCCAUCAGGAAAGACAUCACCCACAGAAGAAGCACCGGCUAACUCCGUGCCAGCAGCCGCGGUAAUACGGAGGGUGCGAGCGUUAAUCGGAAUUACUGGGCGUAAAGCGCGCGUAGGUGGCUUGAUAAGCCGGUUGUGAAAGCCCCGGGCUCAACCUGGGAACGGCAUCCGGAACUGUCAAGCUAGAGUGCAGGAGAGGAAGGUAGAAUUCCCGGUGUAGCGGUGAAAUGCGUAGAGAUCGGGAGGAAUACCAGUGGCGAAGGCGGCCUUCUGGACUGACACUGACACUGAGGUGCGAAAGCGUGGGUAGCAAACAGGAUUAGAUACCCUGGUAGUC
rnacentral:rRNA from 1 species